UACGUAGGUGGCAAGCGUUGUCCGGAAUUACUGGGCGUAAAGGGCUCGUAGGCGGCCAACUAAGUCGGAUGUGAAAUCCCCAGGCUUAACCUGGGAACUGCAUCCGAUACUGGAUGGCUUGAAUCCGGGAGAGGGAUGCGGAAUUCCAGGUGUAGCGGUGAAAUGCGUAGAUAUCUGGAGGAACACCGGUGGCGAAGGCGGCAUCCUGGACCGGCAUUGACGCUGAGGAGCGAAAGCCAGGGGAGCAAACGGG
rnacentral:rRNA from 1 species